rnacentral:rRNA from 1 species
UACGAAGGGGGCUAGCGUUGUUCGGAAUUACUGGGCGUAAAGCGCGUGCAGGCGGUUGCCUAAGUCGGGUGUGAAAGCCUUGAGCUUAACUCAAGAAUUUCGCUCGAUACUGGGUGACUAGAGGACCGGAGAGGAUAGUGGAAUUCCCAGUGUAGUGGUGAAAUACGUAGAGAUUGGGAAGAACACCAGUGGCGAAGGCGGCUAUCUGGACGGUUUCUGACGCUAAGACGCGAAAGCGUGGGGAGCAAACAGG